GACGUAGGGGGCUAGCGUUGUCCGGAAUCAUUGGGCGUAAAGCGCGUGUAGGCGGUCCGGUAAGUCCGCUGUGAAAGUCGGGGGCUCAACCCUCGAAUGCCGGUGGAUACUGUCGGGCUCGAGUCCGGAAGAGGCGAGUGGAAUUCCCGGUGUAGCGGUGAAAUGCGCAGAUAUCGGGAGGAACACCAACGGCGAAGGCAGCUCGCUGGGACGGUACUGACGCUGAGACGCGAAAGCGUGGGGAGCAAACAGG
rnacentral:rRNA from 1 species